CCUACGGGAUGCAGCAGUGAGGAAUAUUGGUCAAUGGACGAGAGUCUGAACCAGCCAAGUAGCGUGAAGGAUGACUGCCCUAUGGGUUGUAAACUUCUUUUAUAUGGGAAUAAAAUGUUCCACGUGUGGGAUUUUGUAUGUACCGUAUGAAUAAGGAUCGGCUAACUCCGUGCCAGCAGCCGCGGUAAUACGGAGGAUCCGAGCGUUAUCCGGAUUUAUUGGGUUUAAAGGGAGCGUAGGUGGAUUGUUAAGUCAGUUGUGAAAGUUUGCGGCUCAACCGUAAAAUUGCAGUUGAAACUGGCAGUCUUGAGUACAGUAGAGGUAGGCGGAAUUCGUGGUGUAGCGGUGAAAUGCUUAGAUAUCACGAAGAACUCCGAUUGCGAAGGCAGUUCACUGGACUGCAACUGACACUGAGGCUCGAAAGUGUGGGUAUCAAACAGGAUUAGAUACCCGGGUAGUC
rnacentral:rRNA from 1 species